GACGAACGCUGGCGGUGUGCUUCACACAUGCAAGUCGAACGAGGUAGCAAUACCUAGUGGCGGACGGGUGAGUAACGCGUGGGAAUCUGCCCAUAGGUGGGGGAUAACUAGCCGAAAGGUUAGCUAAUACCGCAUAUGCCGAAAGGUAAAAGGAGUAAUCCGCCUUUGGAUGAGCCCGCGUCCGAUUAGCUAGUUGGUAGAGUAAAAGCCUACCAAGGCGACGAUCGGUAGCUGGUCUGAGAGGAUGAUCAGCCACAAUGGGACUGAGACACGGCCCAUACUCCUACGGGAGGCAGCAGUGGGGAAGUUUUACGCAAUGGGGGGAAACCCGUGACGUAGCGACACCGCGUGAAUGAAGAAGCCCUUUGGGGUGGUAAAAUUACUGUCGGCUGGGAAGGAAAAAAAUAAGACGGU
rnacentral:rRNA from 1 species